rnacentral:misc_RNA from 1 species
GGAAACCUUCUCUUUCAUUUCUUGUCCAUCCCAUUUUGGUACAUUUAAUUUGCCACUAGAAAUUAAUGAAUAUUUGGGAAGAAAAAAUGCCCAACAAACCCAAAAUUACAUCUCAAGUUGGCCUAUGAGUACUCCCAACCUUGAAGAAACCACACCUCUUAAUGUAAUCUUUGCAUGGGGUUAAAUAACACAAACACCAACAUCAAUAAUCAUAUAAAUAAUUAUUGACUACAUACCAAUUUUUUUAAAUCUAGAAGAAACGACUCUUUUUCCCCUUUUGCAACACUUGAAAGAUUCAUUAUCAAUUCCAGGAUUUCACUGGCCCACUACCUGCUGGCUUUGGCUUAAUUUGCCUGCUCACUCCAAAUCAUUAGAAGGAACGUAGCAUUCGCAUGAAGACUACAUUUCUCCUUCCAAUUCCUUACCAAACAUUUUCUACAGCUACAAUUACUUUUGCCUACAACUCUAUAUAAUCACUAUUUGUUUUGUUCUUAUUACAACAAAAAUGGAUUCUUUGUUUUUGGCUUUCAUCUUGGCUUGCCUCUGCUUCCAGUUAACCAUUACCGAUGCUCAAGCACCGGUAGCAUCACCAGUGACUUUGCCUACUACACCUCCACCUACAACUACACCUCCACCUUCAACUUCACCAACUGCACCAACACGAUCUCCAGUAAGUGCACCAACACCUCCAGCUGCAACCACUCCUAUAUCAUCACCAACUCCUAAAGUAGCUCCAGCUAUCAGCCCAACUGUCCCACCUCCUCAAAUUCCACCACCUCAAACUCCUCCUGUUGCAACUCCAGUUCAACCACCUGCAUUGCCUCCACCACCUGCUUUACCACCACCACAGGUGUCCCCUGCUCCAGCCCAGGCACCUCCAGCACCAGCCCCUGUGACACCAGCAACACCACCACCAACACCAACACCAGGUCGCCUCCCAAAACACCUCUCAAGCGGCCUGUAGCACGAACGCAACAUCGUCGCCGAUUUUCUUCGUCGUAGUCGUCGUUAGAGAAAUUAAAAAAUAACGAAAUGAGAUUGAAAAUAGGAAUUUGGGAAUCGUUUUGAGAGAUAUAUAUAGAGAGAGAGAGAGCG